rnacentral:tRNA from 1 species
GACAGCAUGGUGUAGUGGUUUGAAUGUUGGAUUGUGACUCUGGAGAACAGGGUUCAACUCCCAGCUCAGUCA